CCAAAAAAACCCAAAAUCAUCCCCAGAGCGACGGCGCCCGCAGCGCCCGCGUGCAGGAAAUCCUCGUUGACUGUUACAAACCCACCGAGGCGUUCGUGGGGGAUCUCCUGGAGAAGAUUCGGGGGAUGCAGAAACUCAACACCCCCCAGAAGAAAUGACCCCCCAAAAUUCGGGGGGACCCCCAAAAACCCC